AGUUGAUUCAGAUUUGAUCAAAGAACAGAAAAGGAAGGAUCUUCUGGGUCUUCUUGGAGCAAUGGAGAACACUAUGGAAUAUACAGUUAGUGUAUAUUAUGUAGUAGCAUUUUCAUCUCAGUAUGCCCACUCUCCAGGGUUCAAAUUCUCAACUUUGCCACAGAAUGCUUCCAUUUUGGCUCUAUCAAUCGCCACGUAUUUUCUCAGGGUACUCCAACUUCCUCUACCUUAAAGCCUGCCGCACACAAGAAAAACUUGUGUGAAGAAACUAUGGGUUCUCAUUGGCUAGUUAAUUCAAGCAGCUGAGCACUAAGCUCGCACCAUCCACAGGUGGUGAGAUUUUUUCCUUGCAAGGUGAAAAAUGUCAUGAAACACAAUUGAUAUUUUCCUCAUCAAAGCCUGACAAGAGGUUUAGUAAAUCAUCACAAAAACUAUCUGCACACGAGCGAAACAUGCCCACUGCUACCCGCCAUGCGAGGCAGUUAGCUGAGCAAGUUUCUCUCGUAUGCAGCAGGCUUAUUUUAACACAUAUUUGUUCAAAAGCAUUCGUAGUUUUAGUUCUCAUCUAGUCUCUUUCUUGUCAUUUGAAACUUCCAGGUGACGGCAUAUGACACUCUGCCAAAAAUUGCUUUGAAGUUUGAUGCAACUCCAUCUCAAUUGAGCAGAUUGAACAAACUGGCGAUAAGAACGCUGUAUCCCGGUCAGGUAAUAAGCUUUUAAUAUUACAAGCAUCAGUUUUAUUUUUACAUUUACUGACUAGAUGGUUUGUAAGCUCAGUGGACAUGUCAUUAUUUCUCAGUUUAAUUUCAAAUGUGGGGGUCAAUGUAGAUAUUAGGCAGCUAAAGCAAGCAAUGUCAAUGUUUUUGUCAAAACGGAUGUCAGAUUGCCGAGGGGGGGAGUGGAGUAAAAACUGUGUAUCAGUUUGUGGUAAUCUUCAACAAAUAUGACAAGACAUACAAUUUUUAAA
rnacentral:lncRNA from 1 species